GUAUUCGCUUCAACAGCACAUAUACUAAAAUUGAAACAAUACAGAGAUUAGCAUGGCUCCUGCGCAAGGAUGACACACAAAUUCAUGAAGCGUUCUAUAUUAUU